CAAGGUUUUCCACAGACAGGACACAAUCUACCUUUCUCAUUUGGUAGAAACAAGGAGAUGGGGAAGAAGGUGGUAGACCUUUGAUCCUGUCAAUGUAUGAAACUUCAGAUAAGAAAAUUUAGUUUAAGAAAGGAUGUUGCCCAUGGUCACAGAGCUUCCUGAACUCAAAAAUGAGAAUUAAACCCAAGCCUUCCUCCAAGUCCAACACACUAUCCAUUAUACUAUGCCAAGCUAUUGAUGCAGAAAGAGGUGGUAGCAUCAAGGAGAAAUUGAGGGAAAGGAACAAGCCUACUAUGUUCUGGGUACUUCACAAAAUAUUUUGAUUUGAUACUGUGAGGAUUGAAAGUGGGGUACUGGAAAGAGAGAGACAAUCUUCUGAGAGGGAAGAGACAUCACUCCUAGGAUCACAGGAUUCAGAGGUGGAAGGAUCCUUAAAGGCCUUUGAAUGCAAACUUCUCAUUUUACAGAUGAGGAAAUGGUUGGCCAGAGAAGGCAUCAAGAAAGAGUUCUCUGUUUUCCUAAGAGGCACCUUCACAUCAUCGGCCUUAAAUUCUUUUAAAAAGAUAAAGCUUUCUGCUUCACAUUUAGCAUUGACUUAAAAAUGCCCCAGGAGAGAAAUCAGAAGGACACUACUUCAUCAAGAGAGCAACUACUUAUCAGAAAGAAGAAAAAAGAAGAAAAGAAAAAAAUCAGUUCAAUCACUCAAUACAUUAAAAAAAUUUAUCUCAUGUGAAAUUAAAAAAAAGAAGAUGCUGAAGAUACUUAAGGAUAUUUAGGAUCUUAGGAUUUAGACCUGGAAGAGAUUAGAGCAACUAUUUACAAGAAACAAUUAAAAAGAUGAAUAAAAGAAAAAUAAUCAGCACAGCCACUUAAUAUAUCGAAAAAUUUUGAUUUUAUAUCCACCGUGAACACUCCCACCUACAUUAUAAUAGAUGUGUGUGUGUGUGUGUGUGUGUGUUAUUUUCUUAUAUUUCUUCUCUUUGGACAAAUCUUGGUCACUAUAAUUCCACAGCAUUCAUUUUGUAUUGCCUUGCUGUAAUCCCCCCUCUGCAUUUAUACUGACUAUAUUCAUUGUUUCUCAUAACAAAGUAAUAUCCCAUUAUAUUCAUAUGCCACAAUGUAUUUAGCCAUUCCUCAGUUCUGGGACAUCUACUUCUCUUCCAGCUCUUUGCUACCAUUAAAAAUAUAGUUACAUAUAUUUGGUUUAGAUAGCAGAUAGCACCUUUAUUUUUCUCAUUGACCUAUUUUGGGUGCAUAUCUAACCGGGGAAUUUCUACGGUAAAAGGUAUAGACAUUUCAGGUCCUUUAACUGAACAGUUUCAAAUUGCUUUUUCAAAAUGGAUAUAGCAAUUGAAAGCUCCCCUAAGAGUGCAUUAGUGUUUCUAUCGUUCUAUAACCUCUCCUACCCUAACUAUUUUCACAUUUUGUCAGUUUUGCCAAUUGGCUGGGGGUGAGGUGAAAUCUCAGGGAAUUUUGUUUUGCUUUUCUCUUAUUAUAUAUGAUAUAAAGUAUUUCAAAUGCUUUAUAGUAGUCUAUUCUAAUGAGAACUAUUCAUAUAUUUUGACUACUUAUCUAUUGCAGAAUAGCAGUUGGUUAUAUAUUUCUGUUAGUAGUUGACUCACAUUCACUCUCUGAUACAAUUUUUUUCCUCAUUUUAUCACUUCUUCAUGAAAAGUUUUUAGCAUGUUUCAAAAUAAUUGUUCUCCCUUGUCUGUUCAAAAAUUCAACUCCUACUCAUAAUUAUUAGAAUAUGUGGUCUCUUUUUCUAAUUGUUAGUGGUAUAAUCCUUAAGAUUCAAGGAAUGUUUUUAUGUCUUUUGAUGUAAUAAUCUGUAAGAUGUUGGAUCAUACUUAAUUUCUGCCAGACAGCUUUUUAGUUUAUCCAAUAAUUCUUAUGAAAUAGGGAGUUCUUUCCUAGGGACUUAAUGUUUUAGGAUUUGUUGAAUGUUGAAUUCUUGAGUUCAGUUAUUUUAAAUUGUAUAUCUAGCCUAUUCCAUAAAUCUAGUUUUCUAUUCUUUUACCACUUCCAGAUAUUUUUGGUGAUUACUGCUUUAUAAUGUAGUCUGAGUUACAGGAGUGCUAUUUUCCUUUCUUUCUUACCUUAUUUUUCCAUUAGUUCCUUUGAUAGCCUAAAUCAUUCUGCAAUCUGAGUCUAAUAACAUUAGAAAAUGUGAUAAAUAUUUCAAUAUAAUUGAUUAAUGUUUAAAUACUGAGUAUUUUAUUUUAUGCUUUUAAAAGUAUAAUUAACAAAUGAUUCAUUGGCUUCAUCUGAUGGCCAAAGGAGUACAUGACAUACAAAGUGAAAAAACCCUAUUUUAGAUAUUGUAUUCUUCCAAAUGAAAUUUGUAAUGUUUUUCUGGUUCUGUAAACUAUCUUCUUUUUAGUUUGACUUGCAUAACAUUGUAUCUGUAAAUAAACAAUGCUACUGUUCUUCUUUCUCUUAUCUUGGUAAAUCCUAGACCCAUUCACUAAUUAAUUACUUGACUAAUUUUUCUCUUUAAAUUCUUCAUGUUGGACUUCCGGUCAAGAUGGCGGCUUAGAGAAAGCUAAAGUUCAGAUCUCCGGAAACCUUUCCCUACCGAACUCAAACUAUAUGCUCCUAAGGCACCAAAAUUCAAAACAAACAACAGCAUAGACCCUGGGAAUCCUCCUCCUGGACCUGGACCUGGAUCAAAAGGUAUGGCCCCCCCAAAAGCCAGAACAUGAGAUCACUCGGACCUAAGGGGUAGGCAGAAGGAAGGUCCUAGGAUCCAUCCCCCCAACCCAGAGUGCUGAGUCCGAGGCAGCAGAGGGAACCUCAGAGCCUCAGGGCCUGCUAUUCUGAAGGCCACAUCCUGAAAACAACCUGACCCAGUCGCGGGGGCACCCAGACAGCAGGGAAACAGAAAGAGAUGGGGGAGCCUGCAGCCCCCUGGCUGGAUCCUUCCAUCCGAGUCUCAAGGUCCCUGCCUCAAAGCAUACUCAGUUCAACCCAGAGAAAUUUAAUCUUAUCAGGAACCCUCGGAGCUCCGGGAAGCCGCGGUCCCUCCCCCCUCAGAGUGCUGGCUCUCCUGGCCAGCUAAGGCACAGAAACAAACCCCCGAGGAAAGGGCCGAGCCAGGCUCAGAGCGUGGAAGUAAGGCAACAGAGAAGCAUCGGGAGGGAAUUGAGGAGGGCAGUAACAGGGAAACACCAACAAUUCCUGGCUUCCCUGGGAAGACAGAACAACAACUGCAUAGAAUGGACAAUCUGCCUAGGGCUAAAACCUCUGAACACCAGACAGAGAUAAGAAAAGCUAGUCCUCCCCACUCAGAUAGAGAUGGCAAACUCCACAGAAGCACAAAAACCCCAAAAUUCCAAGAAAAACAAGAAGAAGGGGGCAACUUUGGACACAUUUUAUGGAGCAAAAAUACAAAAUACAGAGGAGAUAGAAGAGGAAACACAAGCAAAUGCUCCAAAACCUUCCAAAGGAAAUGGAAACUCUCCACAAACCCAUGAAGAAUUUGAAUCGGAAAAGGAUCAAAAAAAGAUGGAAGCCUUCUGGGAGGAAAAGUGGGAAAUAAUGCAAAAGAAAUUCAUGCAUCUACAAAACCAGUUUGACCAAACUGAAAAGAAAAACCAGGCUUUAAAGGUCAGAAUUAGGCAACUUGAAGACAACGAGCAGGUAAAAGAGCAAGAAUCAAUAAAGCAAAGCCAAAAGAUCAAGAAAUUAGAAGAGAACAUAAAAUAUCUCACUGACAAGGUGACAGACUUGGAAAAUAGAGGAAGAAGAGAUAAUUUAAGAAUAAUUGGACAAAAAGACUUGUACAAAAUAUUCAUAGCUGCGCUCUUUGUGGUGGCCAAUAAUUGGAAAAUGAGGGGAUGCCCUUCAAUUGGGGAAUGGCUGAACAAAUUGUGGUAUAUGUUGGUGAUGGAAUACUAUUGUGAAAAAAGGAAUAAUAAAGUGGAGGAAUUCCAUGGAGACUGGAACGACCUCCAGGAAGUGAUGCAGAGCGAGAAGAGCAGAAGCAGGAGAACAUUGUACACAGAGACUAAUACACUGUGGUAUAAUCGAACAUAAUGGACUUCUCCAUUAGUAGUGGUGUAAUGUCCCUGAACAAUCUGCAUAGAUCUAGGAGAAAAAACACUAUUUAUAAGCAGAGGACAAACUGUGGGAGUAGAAACACCGAGGAAAAGCAACUGCCCAACUACAGUGGUUGAGGGGACAUGACAGAGGAGAUACUCUAAAUGAACACUCUAAUGCAAAUACGAACAACAUGACAAUGGGUUCGAAUCAAGAACACAUGUGAUACCCAGUGGAAUCAUGCGUCAGCUACGGGGGUGGAGGGGAGGAAAAGAAAAUAAUCAUUUAAUGAAUAAUGCUUGGAAAUGAUCAAAUAAAAUAUUAUUUAAAAAAAAAAGAAAGAAAACAUGAACAGUGGGAAGAAAGUUGCCAAGGCACAGAAACAAGUUGAAAGUGUUCCUAUUUCUCUGAAUAAAUCUCUGACAUUUCAAAAAAUAAAUAAAUAAAUAAAUAAAUUCUUCAUGUUGUAAUUGAAUUGAUACUACCAUUGAGUGGAUUUUGGAAGAUUGAUUCCAAAAGAUUAUAUAUAGUCUGUAGUUAGGUGGAAUGAAACGUCUUUCUGUAGUUUUGUCUCCUGGAUUUUGUUUUUAUUGCGAAUUUGUAUGUAGAAAUGCUAUUGAUUUUUGCAGGUUUAAUUUGCAGCCUACAAGUUUUCUGAAACUAUUGAUUUAAUUAGUUGCCUAGCUUAUUCUCUAGAAAUUUAAAGUAACCCUCAUUUUACUAACAAAUAAUGUAAAUUUUCUCCUCUUUGCCUAUCUUUGUGCCUUUAUUUCCAUUUUCUUGCCUCAUUGCUAUUGCUAGCCUUUGUGAUAUUGUAUAAAACAAUAGUAGGUAAAGGAAGCAUGUUUAUUUGUUGGAGAUAUUUCCUGGUAAUGUGUACUUUUGGGUUACUUAUUAUACCAUUAAGAUAAUUCUUUAGAAUUAUACUCUGUAGGGAUUUUUAGUAUAAAUGAGUAUUUUAUUUUGUACUUUGUCAAAGACUUUUGUUUAUCUAUUGAUGAUGAUGUUUUUAAUAUAUUUGUUUCAAAUGUUUCCCUAGUGCUAAAUCAUCCUUGCAUCUUUGGUGUAAAUGUAUGUUGGUCAUGAUGAAUGAUUUCUUGGAUGGAGUAUUACAGUCUGUUUAAUAGUAUUUUGUUUAAAAAAUUUUUAAUUGAUAUUUAUUGCUUCAUCACUCCCUGUUUUGUUUAUAAAGGGCUACAUACUGUAAAAAGAUUCUGAUAGGGUAACUUUUUUCUCAACAUUUAAAACUCACUUUAAGCUGAGUGUGUUAGCAACUUGCCUAGGGCUCCUACUAUUUCCCAUGACUGAAAUUAUUCUUAGGAUCUGGAAAGAGAAUAAAUGGGAAUCUGACUUGUUAUUUCAUUGGCAUAGGUUACUCCUGUUUGAGGAAACAACAUUUUUUCUAAAACCUAUAUUCUUAGAGUUUGAUGGAAAUCUGGGAGAUUUAAUGACUUGUCCAGGGGCCAUAGCUAGUAUAUUUCAAAAGAGGAAUUUGAACACACAUCUUUCUGACUUCUGGCUGAAUCUCUCCCCACUACACUAUGUUGUAUUCUGGUUUACAUGAAAAUGGAUUUAAUUAGAACCAAACUUCUAAGUUAGAGGACUUCAAUAAGGGAAGUGUUUUUAUAUCAUAGAACUAUAGAUUGAAAUUUAGAAGGGACCUUAGAGGUUAAGUUCACCUCUUUCAUUUUAUAGAUGAGGAAAAUAGGACUCAGAGAUCUGAAAUGCUUUAAUUAAGAUAACAUAGCUAAUAAUAAUUAUGAGGAAGGCAAUAUCGUUUGCACAGCACUUUAAUCUUUGCAAAGUGCUUUAUGCAUAUUAUCUUAUUUGAUUCUCAAGAUUACUCUCCUAAGGUAGAUGCUAUUUUUUCUCCAUUUCAAAGAUGGGAAAACUGAGUCUGAGAGUGGCUUUGAAAAUUGUUGUAUUACACAACUGGUAAGUGUCUGAACCUGAAUCCAAGCCCUGGUUCCUCUUACUGAAAACCCAAUACUUUCUCCACUAUAACAACCUGCCCCAUAGCUGGGGGGGAACUUCUCAUAAUUAAGAAAACAAAUCACUUUUGUAUAUUUUAUUGUCUUCAAGAAAAACUUUCAGUAUAAGUCUAGUCACUGGGACUACAGAUGAACUUCUUGUAGAAGUUGCAGGGAAGCAGAGUCUAGCUUAUGUUCUAAUUUCAAGGAAUACAGUCAGGCAGCCAUCAUGCCAACUCUUCCCUUUAUCAGAAGUGGUUCAAGAGGGCCUAUUCAUUAGGUAACAAAGUAGAUAGAGUUGCUGUAUUUAACAGGAUUUAAGAAAACUUGAGUUCAAAUCUUGAUUCUGACACUUGAAAAUUGUGUGAUCUUGGGCAAAUCACUUAAACUUUAAACUUUACCUCAAUUUUCUCCUCUGUCAAAGGGAAAUAAUAAUACCAAUGCCCUUUUAAGAUUGUUAGGAUAGAAUGCAUAGUAUCUGUAUAUUUCUUGGUAAACCAUAAAGCAUUAAAUGUUAGCAAAUAUUAAUAAUCAGUGAUCAGAUAGACAUGCUAGAUAUUGGGCAAUGAUCUUUGGUCAUCUUCUACCUUGUGGUACCUUGACAUAGAUUCACAAUCAACUUGUAAUUGUCCAUCUAGUUCUUUUUAAUUUAUAAAAAUCAUUGACAUCUUGUUAUCUUUAUUUCUAAAUACAUUCCUCCCUUUUCCUUCCUAGUGAGCCACUCCUUAAAACAAAAUAUUUUGCAAAACUAAAAAAAGAGUUAUUUUAAAAAAUUAACAUAUGAACUAUGUCUGACAAUGCAUUUGAUUUUCUGCAACCACAUUUCUCCCCUCCAUGAAUCUGCUGUAGUUUUUCAACUCUUUUCCAAGGCCAGUUUGUGUUGUUACUUGAGGGGAGGUGCUAGUGCUGAUUUGCUUAGUCUGGAAUAUGUUGCCUCCUUUCUCUCCCUUAGGGGACCUGCUACAUCAUCUAGACAAGCUUGCCUAUAUUCAGGACAUUUUUUCCUUCUGUAAUUGAUAUCUCUAAAGUAUAUUCUCAGAAAUGAAAUCUCGAUCAAAAACAUGGACAUUUAUUUUAACAAUAAUUACCAUUUCUUUUGUGUCUAAUGUUUAUAAAGCACAUUCCUCAUAAUAAGCCUGUGAUGGAGAGAGGACAAGAAUUAUCAUUUCUAUUUUUUUAAAUGAGAAAACUUGGCUUCUGAGCAUUUAAAUAACUUUCUGAGGAAAUAACCUAUAAAUAUUUGAUGUAGAGUAUGAGCUUGAGAGUCUCCUAAUAGUAGUUCUAUUACUCUUCCCCAUUUUAUCAGAUAGUUUUGCUUACUCACAGUGGCAGGAAUUUGUUGUUUUCCAUGGAAGAAGUGGGAUUUUACUGGUGAGAAGUCAGUUCAGAAUGAAUCUUAAUCAGUGCAUACAUUUGUCAUCAAAUGUACGUGUUUUCUAAGUAUUAAUUGAAAAUUUAUUAAGUAUUUGUUUGUCUAAAUAUUUUUUUACCACUUCCAGUAGCAAAUUCAUAUAUGUGAAAGAUGUGAGAUACCUAUAGACUAGCUUUGGCCAUUUCAUCACAAGACAAUAAUGCAUUUGCUGGGUGUGAAUACAUUUUAUAAUCAAUCAUUCCCUACCCCCAAGUACCACCCUUGUCGACAUCCUAUUUUAUAAAAUUAUUUGGAAAUAGUUGUCAUGUGGAUGCUGAUAUUGCUGCAUCAUGUUGGGAUAUAAGUUAAUAGCAAAUAUAUUGUUUCUUUAAAAGUUACUAAUAUUAGGACUGAAUUAAAGAAUCAAUGAUAUAUUCUUAAUGGUGCUGUUAUAUGAUAAAAAUAUGUUUUGUAUGACUGAAUGUUGAAUCAACACAUAGCUAGCGUUCUUAAGGGGUGGAGUGAGGCAAGAAAAAAGAAGAGAAUUUA